rnacentral:rRNA from 1 species
AACGAACGCUGGCGGCAUGCCUAACACAUGCAAGUCGAACGAAUGCCUUCGGCUUAUAGUUGCGUACGGGUGCGUAACGCGGGGUAAUCUGCACUUAUGUUCGGAAUAACAGCUGGAAAUGUCUGCUAAUACCGGCUGAUAUCGCGUGAUCAAAGAUUUAUCGCCUGAGGGUGAGUCCGCGUUGGAUUAGGUAGUUGGUGGGGUAAAGGCGUACCAAGCCGACGAGCCAUAGCUGGUCUGAGAGGAUGAUCAGCGACACUGGGACUGAGAUACGGCCCAGAAUCUUACAGGAGGCAGCAGUGGGGGAUAUUGGACAAUGGGGGCAAGCAUGAUGCAGCAAUGACGGGUGAGUGAUGAAGGCCCUAGGGUUGUAAAGCUCUUUUACCCGGGAAGAUAUUGACUGUACCGGGAGAAUAAGCCCCGGCUAACUCCGUG